rnacentral:rRNA from 1 species
UACGUAGGGUGCGAGCGUUAAUCGGAAUUACUGGGCGUAAAGCGCACGUAGGCGGAUUUGUAAGUCAGGGGUGAAAUCCCGGAGCUCAACUUCGGAACUGCCUCUGAUACAGCACGUCUUGAGUCCGGAAGAGGUGGGUGGAAUUCCUAGUGUAGAGGUGAAAUUCGUAGAUAUUAGGAAGAACACCGGUGGCGAAGGCGGCCCACUGGUCCGGUACUGACGCUGAGGUGCGAAAGCGUGGGGAGCAAACAGG